UACCUUCCUCCUCUGGUACUUUUCACUCUCCCUCUCUACGCCGGCAGCAAAACAUCUUUCAAGAUCAUGCCGGGUAGGGUUCCCUAUAUUUCCUUGUAUUGCUUUUCAGUUCAUGUAUGAUUCAUUAUUGCACGAAGCAAUUACAUUUUCCUGGUGUCCUCUCAUACCAAAAAUUUGUGCGUACAGGUGAUGUUCAUGCUAGCGGUGCUGGAUUGAUUUCAUUUUGGAGCUUCGUACUGGAAUUUUUUGGUGUUGGUAAUCUCAAAUCUUUUGGACAGUUAACACCAAUAUUUUUAUGCCGCACGAUUGCUUACAUUGCAUCUUCCCUGUUGAUGCUCCACUACUUUUAGUUUCACUGGAGAUUUCCAUGCUCUUUGUACUUGCGCCUCUUGAAGAUGGGGCAUAUCCUUCCUUUUGUUUAGACAAAGUGUCAGUAUGUGUUUUCCUUUUGAUGUUCAGAAGCAGAGGCCGAUUGUGCUUCUGAACUAGCAGUGUCUAAGGCCAAUAUGUCGCUGUUACAUACAGACCUACCAGGUUCAUUGGAGUUCUGCUUGAUGGAACUUUCUG
rnacentral:lncRNA from 1 species